CCUCACUACAGGGAAUUGUCAAACCGCCCAUUGGAUGAUCAAAGCCAAAUUCUUCCUCAGCUUGACUAAGCAAGUCUUGAAAUAAAGGUUCGCUCAAGAAUGAUAUCGGGAUCACAAAUCUCUUUUUCUGCAUCUCUCCAACAUACACAGCAAAAUGGCCCUUGGGAAUAUCUCUAGUUGCGGAAGACUUCUUGAUCAUACGGAGAAUAGCCAUGAUCUCUUAGUUUUAGUAUAGAUGAGAAAAAAAGAAGGAUUGUAAGGUUACUCAAAAGCAGAGAAAGCUUUGAUGUUUGAUGAGUGUUGUGGUGGUAGAUACCUCUUUGGAUAUGUUUAUAUAGGAAAUGGCAACUCAUAUUGAUGUGUGUUGAAUUGGAAUGUGUGGGUACCAGCAGAAGACAAUGGCACUGUAGUAUCACAUGCUCUUGCCUUCCAAGUAUUGAAAACUUUGUGGUGUUAGUUAAAGAACAAUAGGCCCUACCUUAUUUUGAAACUUGGAAAGAGCCAUUUGGAUUGGACAUCAGUUAAAGUCUCAAAGACAAUGAUAUAUUAGUAAUCACAUGGUCCUGCCUUCCAGCUAGUUGACAUGAUUAAUUGCUUUAGCAAUAGUUCCCCAUAUAUUUUCCUAUAGGGAACAAAGGAUCUCUAAGAAUCAAAUCCAUAAAUAUUGCUGGUAGCUUAUGAGGAUAUCUAGGAAUUAACCAUACCCCAGAUGCAAACUUUGUGUCCACUUGUAUAAAAAGGAUAAGAGAUAAAAAUUGGCUUGUUAAAAUUCCGAGCCAGUUAGUCAAAAUCAGACAAUCAAAAUGAAACAGAGGGAGUAUUAUAUAUGCAAGAACAAUCCAUUGGUUAAAUAGUUGGCUCCCUAAGUACAUAAUCUUGUUUGUUAUCUUUUACAAGUACAUUGGUUUCUUCAUAAACAAAGAUAAAUAAGUUGGGAUC